rnacentral:tRNA from 1 species
GUCUGGGUGGCUCAGUUGGUUAAGCCUCUGACUUUGGCUCAGGUCAUGAUCUCACAGUUGGUGGGUUCAAGUCCCACAUCAGGCU